UCGCUGGAGAGUUUGAUCCUGGCUCAGGACGAAACGCUGGCGGCGUGCCUAAUACAUGCAAGUCGAAGGACCUUGUGUUUCUUUCUCGGGAGACGCCAGGGUUACAGGACGGGUGAGCAACACGUAGGCAACCUGCCUGUAAGACCGGGAUAACUUGCGGAAACGAGCUAAUACCGGAUAGCUGGUUUCUUCGGCAUGAAGAAGUCAUGAAAGACGGGGCACCUGUCACUUACAGAUGAGCCUGCGGCGCAUUAGCUAGUUGGUAGGGUAACGGCUGUCAACAAUAAGGACGAUGCGUAGCCGACCUGAGAGGGUGAACGGCCACACUGGGAUCGAGACACGGCCCAGACCCUACGGAGGCAGCAGGGAAUCUUCCGCAAUGCUGACGAAAGUCUGGACGAGCAAACGGCCAGUGAGUGAUGAAGGUUUUCGGAUCGUAAAGGCAAGCUCUGUUGCCAGGAAGAACGGCCAGGGGAGGCAAUCGCUCGGAGUGACGGUACCUGAGAAGAAAGCCCUGGCUAACUACGUGCCAGCAGCCGCGUAAUACGUAGGGGGCAAGCGUUGUCCGGAAUUAUUGGGCGGGCAAGGCAAGCGCAGGCGGUCUUUUAAGUCUGGUGUUUAAGCCCGGGGCUCAACCCCGGUUCGCACUGGAAACUGGGAGACUUGAGUGUAGGGAGGAAAGUGGAAUUCCACGCGUGUAGCGGUGAAAUGCGUAGAGAUGUGGAGGAACACCAGUGGCGAAGGCGACUUUCUGGCCUAUAACUCGCUGAGGCGCGAAAGCGUGGGGAGCAAACAGAUUAGAUACUCCUGGUAGUCCACGCCGUAAACGAUGAAUGCUAGGUGUUAGGGUUUCGAUACCCUUGGUGCCGAAGUUAACACAGUAAGCAUUCCGCCUGUAGCCGGUCGCGAAGAUUGAAACUCAAAGGAAUUGACGGGGACCCGCACAAGCAGUGGAGUAUGUGGUUUAAUUCGAAGCAACGCGAAGAACCUUACCAGGCCUUGACAUCCCUCUGACCGGUUUAGAGAUAGAUCUUUUCCUUCGGGGACAGAGGAGACAGGUGGCAUGGUUGUCGUCAGCUCGUGUCGUGAGAUGUUGGGUUAAGUCCCGCAACGAGCGCAACCCUUGAUCUUAGUUGCCAGCACGCAGAGGUGGGCACUCUAAGAUGACUGCCGGUGACAAACCGGAGGAAGGUGAUGACGUCAAAUCAUUCAUGCCCCUUAUGGCCUGGGCUACACACGUACUACAAUGGUCGGUACAACGGGAAGCGAAGGGAAGCCGAUCCGGAGCCAAUCCUCAAAAGCCGAUCUCAGUUCGAUUGCAGGCUGCAACUCGCCUGCAUGAAGUCGGAAUUGCUAGUAAUCGCGGAUCAGCAUGCCGCGGUGAAUACGUUCUCGGAAGUCUUGUACACCGCCCGUCACACCACGAGAGUUUACAACACCCGAAGUCGGUGAGGUAACCAAGGCCAGCCGCCGAAGGUGGGGUAGAUGAUUGGGGUGAAGUCGUAACAAGGUAGCCGUAUCGGAAGGUGCGGCUGAUCACCUCCUUU
rnacentral:rRNA from 1 species